rnacentral:tRNA from 2 species
GGGCAGUUAGCUCAGCGGUAGAGCACUGUCCUCACACGACAGGGGUCACAGGUUCAAAUCCUGUACUGCCCACCA